rnacentral:rRNA from 1 species
GCGGUUAAAAAGCUCGUAGUUGGAUCUCGGCGGGCAGGGGGUGGUUCGCUCUUCAGCGCUACUGCCCCGCUUUGCCCGUGUGAUUGGCGGAGGUUUCGGGGUGCUCUUCGUUGAGUGACUCGGAGCGCCGUCAGGUUUACUUUGAAAAAAUUAGAGUGCUCAAAGCAGGCUUUUCACGCUUGAAUAUUCGUGCAUGGAAUAAUGGAAUAGGAACUCGUUUCUAUUUUGUUGGUUUUCGGAAAUCGAGUUAAUGAUUAACAGGGACAAUUGGGGGCAUUAGUAUUCAGACGACAGAGGUGAAAUUCUUGGACCGUCUGAAGACUGACUACUGCGAAAGCAUUUGCCAAGAGUGUUUUCAUUAAUCAAGAACGAAAGUUAGAGGUUCGAAGGCGAUCAGAUACCGCCCUAGUUCUAACCAUAAACGAUGCCAGCUAGCGAUCUGCCGAGUUUUUUUUGUAGGCUCCGCAGGAAGCUUUCGGGAAACCAAAGCUUUUGGGUCCCGGGGGAAGUAUGGUUGCAAAGCUGAAACUUAAAGGAAUUGACGGAAGGGCACCACCAGGAGUGGAGCCUGCGGCUUAAUUUGACUCAACACGGGAAAUCUCACCAGGCCCGGACACUGGAAGGAUUGACAGAUUGAGAGCUCUUUCUCGAUUCGGUGGGUGGUGGUGCAUGGCCGAUCUUAGUUGGUGGAGUGAUUUGUCUGGUUAAUUCCGAUAACGAACGAGACUCUGUCCUGCUA